rnacentral:rRNA from 1 species
CAUCCUCCAAGGCUAAAUACUCCUGACUGACCGAUAGUGAACCAGUACCGUGAGGGAAAGGCGAAAAGAACCCCGGCGAGGGGAGUGAAAAAGAACCUGAAACCGUGUACGUACAAGCAGUGGGAGCCUCUUUAUGGGGUGACUGCGUACCUUUUGUAUAAUGGGUCAGCGACUUAUAUUCUGUAGCAAGGUUAACCGAAUAGGGGAGCCGAAGGGAAACCGAGUCUUAACUGGGCGUUAAGUUGCAGGGUAUAGACCCGAAACC